UACGUAGGGUGCAAGCGUUGUCCGGAAUUAUUGGGCGUAAAGAGCUCGUAGGCGGUCUGUCGCGUCGGAUGUGAAAAUCCAGGGCUCAACCCUGGACCUGCAUUCGAUACGGACAGACUAGAGGUAGGUAGGGGAGAAUGGAAUUCCCGGUGUAGCGGUGAAAUGCGCAGAUAUCGGGAGGAACACCGGUGGCGAAGGCGGGUCUCUGGGCAACAACUGACGCUGAGGAGCGAAAGCGUGGGGAGCGAACAGG
rnacentral:rRNA from 1 species